AUAGAAUUAGAAGUAUCAAUAUUUUCAUUUAUUGACGUUUUUAACCAUUCAAAUGCCAAGUCUUCAUGGUCCCCCCUUAGUCGAGAAUGACCAAAAGCUGUCAUGAAGGUCCCCAUGUAGAUUUCUUGUAUUUUUGGUAAUUGUUAUGGGGGUUAAAAAUCAUAUGAUGUGGAGCUUAUUUUUCAUGGACACUGUCAAAUUCAGAACCCAUUACCGGU
rnacentral:lncRNA from 1 species